ACGUCAAUGAGCAAAGGUAUUAACUUUACUCCCUUCCUCCCCGCUGAAAGUACUUUACAACCCGAAGGCCUUCUUCAUACACGCGGCAUGGCUGCAUCAGGCUUGCGCCCAUUGUGCAAUAU
rnacentral:rRNA from 1 species